GAUGAACGCUAGCGGCAGGCUUAACACAUGCAAGUCGAGGGGCAGCGCGUCGUAGCAAUACGAUGGCGGCGACCGGCGGAAGGGUGCGUAACGCGUGAGCAACUUGCCCGUCACAGGGGGAUAACCGGUGGAAACGCCGACUAACACCCCGUAACACAUUUCGCUGCAUGGCGAGAUGUUGAAAACUCCGGUGGUGACGGAUAGGCUCGCGUGCCAUUAGCUAGUCGGCGGGGCAACGGCCCACCGAGGCGACGAUGGCUAGGGGUUCUGAGAGGAAGGCCCCCCACACUGGGACUGAGACACGGCCCAGACUCCUACGGGAGGCAGCAGUGAGGAAUAUUGGACAAUGGAGGCAACUCUGAUCCAGCCAUGCCGCGUGAAGGACUAAGGCCCUAUGGGCUGUAAACUGCUUUAUGUGGGAAUAAAGUCAGGGACGUGUCCCUGUUUGCAUGUACCACAGGAAUAAGGACCGGCUAAUUCCGUGCCAGCAG
rnacentral:rRNA from 1 species